GAGGACACCGAUGACACAGAAAGUGAUGCAUUGGUAAAAAAGUAGUGGGUAGUUGCAGUUGGCCUAAACAUUUGAGGCUCUAAUGUGCCUUUUACUGUUGUUUCUCCCCGUUUGGAUAAUCUUCUUAUUUUUUUAUUGAAGUACCUUCUUGUGUUUAAGUUGAAGGAAGUUUUUAUACCUUGUGUUUAAGUUGAAGUUUUUAACUCUCUUAUAGAAAAAGGGAUGUAUGAACAUCUCUGAUAUAUAUUGCACAACUGUAAUCUAAGUUUCAAAUUUCGGAGAUUAAAAGAAAAAUUGUGCC
rnacentral:lncRNA from 1 species